rnacentral:tRNA from 1 species
AGGGCUAUAGCUCAGUUCGGUAGAGCAACUCGCUUACACCCGUUUGAUCUGUUUUA